rnacentral:rRNA from 1 species
AUGGCGAGGUGCGCCUUCUUGUCCCGGCCGAGGCUGGUGCUGCUUCUGGUGCUUCUCGGUGAUGUGGUUGCGACGUCGAUGGCCAGGCCGCUGCUGGGCGCUACCGCGGACGCGCCGACGCCCUUGCCGGCGGAGGGGCCGGACGGCGUGGCGCGGCCUGCCGGCGGGAGGCACGACCGGUCCAUCGCCGGCGCCGAGGUGAUCCUCGCCGGGUUCGCCGCGGCCGUCAUGGCCGUCAUCUUCCUAUACAUCCGGGUCACCAGGAAGAGCAACGACAGGGCAGCAGCCGGAAUGGCGGGCAAGGCUUAG